UGGAAGUAAAAAGUCGUAACAAGGUUUCCGUAGGUGAACCUGCGGAAGGAUCAUUGUCGAAUCCUGCAUAGCAGUACCACUCGCGAACAAGUUCACAAACACGGGACAAUAUCGGGUGGAGGGAUUUCCCUGCACUCGAUUUGCUCCCGACGGCACUCGGGCAUUUUGCUCUUGUGCCUAACAAACCCCCGGCGCGAGAAGCGCCAAGGAAUACUCUAACAAGGGCUGGAUCCGUCCUCUCCCGUUCGCGGGGAUUCGGGGAUUGGGGAAGGCUUCUUUCUAAACUGAAACGACUCUCGGCAACGGAUAUCUCGGCUCUCGCAUCGAUGAAGAACGUAGCGAAAUGCGAUACUUGGUGUGAAUUGCAGAAUCCCGUGAACCAUCGAGUCUUUGAACGCAAGUUGCGCCUGAAGCCAUUAGGCCAAGGGCACGUCUGCCUGGGCGUCACGCAUCGCGUCACCCCUCCUCCUAUUUUGGGAUGGAUGGGGUGGAAUGUGACCUCCUGUGCCGAGAGGUGCAGCUGGUCGAAAUCUGAGUCCGGAGCUUAGGAUGUCACGGCAAGUGGUGGUUGGAUAACAACUCGCGUGUUGUCGUGUGCCGAACCUCUUGAGGCUGUAAAGACCCUUAUGCAUGUGUUCCCCUCUGCUUUUGUGGAGUGGAGCUAGUGCUACGACCGCGACCCCAGGUCAGGCGGGAUUACCCGCUGAAUUUAAGCAUAUCAA
rnacentral:rRNA from 1 species